rnacentral:rRNA from 1 species
CCCUACGGGAGGCAGCAGUGAGGAAUAUUGGUCAAUGGGCGGGAGCCUGAACCAGCCAAGCCGCGUGAGGGAAGAAGGUACAGCGUAUCGUAAACCUCUUUUGUCAGGGAACAAAGGCGGGGACUAGUCCCCGGAUGAGGGUACCUGAAGAAAAAGCAUCGGCUAACUCCGUGCCAGCAGCCGCGGUAAUACGGAGGAUGCGAGCGUUAUCCGGAUUUAUUAGGUUUAAAGGGUGCGCAGGCGGCCUGUUAAGUCAGCGGUAAAAUCACGGGGCUCAACCCCGGCGCGCCGUUGAAACUGGCGGG